GUGAAUCAUCAAAUCUUUGAACGCAAAUUGCACUCUUUGGUAUUCCGAAGAGUAUGCUUGCUUGAGGGUUGUUCUAAACAAUAUCGUUUUUUAUAUUAAAGAAAAAGGAUCUGAGUUUUCUAAAGUUUUUAAUGUGUGUGACUUUAAUUUUAUCUUAUGGAUAUUUUUGGUAUAAUUUGGGAAUUGUUUUUCCAAAGUCUGGGGGUAGGUG
rnacentral:misc_RNA from 1 species